rnacentral:lncRNA from 10 species
UAGAGAAUGCUAGAUUUGAGGGCACCUACAGGCUUUGAGGAAAAGCAGGAACUGACUCAUUUUGCAGUGCCCAGCCACCACACAAUUGUUCCAGAACAGACUCAAGUCAAAGGGAAAAAUAUGAAGGUCUUAGAACACAGACAGCAAGUUGUCUACUUAUAUGGGGGGACAACCGGGGGAAAUCCCAGAGCACAUGGGGCAAAACGGCUCAAGCCCCGGACCAAUCUUAGAGGAAGGACCAAACAGAACUCACCACUUCGUGGACAACACAUGUGUUUUCCUCAAAGCAAGGGGGUCAGAGGCUGGUAGAAAAAGAAACUUAAUGUCUAUCUCUUAGACACUAAUCUACACUUAGAAAGUAGAUUCAGUAGAGAAAUGUCUGCAGAAGACUCGGGUUAGAUGUUGUCUUGAAAGUCCAUUCCUGAAUUCCUUGUACUCCCAGCUCCUCUGAGAUGGGAUGCUCAGUAAGUCAGGAGUAUGCCCCUUGUCUUACAGGAGAUAAGCCAGCAGGGACAGCAUGUCCAAGAUGCUAGGCAGAACUGAGGCUGACACUUGAGCUUAGGACCAGAAAUUCUCUGGCUCCCCUGGGGCUUCUGUACAUCCUCUCCUGGUCCAUUUUUACAUCUUUCUCUUAAUUCCCAAUGUGUCUCACCCAAGGGGGUCAGUUUCCCCAUGAUGUCCCAAAUCUUUCUCCCUCUCUCAAUGCAGACUUCUUACCUAAGGGGAGGAUGAAGAGGAGCAAACUAAGCUCUCCUCCACACAACACUCUAUGUUCCCAAAUUACUCAUUUCUCUACCCCACAAGUGAAACUGAUUUAGUCAGUCAGUUUCAGCCAAAGGCGGUGAGGAAAUCCGGUCUUGUUGAACUAAACUAUAAAUGACAAAACCAAUAAUAACUCUUUUCUGCAGGUGGGUCCCUUGCUAAAAGAAUAUGAGGGUUAACCCAACCCAAAUCUAUCAUUGACUAAUAGAAAGGCUAUGUGAUAAGAAUUAGGUAUAGAGUCUCAGGCAGUAUUUCAAGUAAGAUAAACCUGGACGACACCUAUAAAAGGCUAUCAAGCCCCUUUCUAAGCCCUGUAUGUUGUCGAUAUAAUUACAUAUACAUUUUAUGUCUGUUCUCACCCGUGCAAUGUCUCUUAACAUGUAAACUCCCAGAUGACAGAACUUGCCCAUUUCCUUAGAUUUAGUAAGGGGCAUUUAGUAUCCGAGUAUAAUAGUGAAGUAAUGACAGGGGGCUGCAAUCAAAUUAUGGCAAUCAACUCUACCUUUAAGAAAUUACAAAAAUGUUUUUAACACAACUUUACAAGAGAAAAGGUACAUAAAACAAUUUUACCCUUCCCACCUGGCCAAUUGCCUUUAUUUUUCCACACUCUCUUUGUACCUCCAAUAAAAUAAGUACUGUAUAACAAGACUUCUUAACCUGUACCAAACAGUAAGUUUUCAUACAGAAUUUUAAAAAGGAGCUUAUCAUCUGACUGAACAUAAAACUAAGAAUUAUUUUAAAAUGAAAGCACUUUAAACAUGGAUUUAAAAUCCCUUCAGUUCAAAAUUCUAAACUGCUUGUUACUGAGUGCAAAAAUCAGCAAAGAUAUGCCUUAUGGAAGAUGAGUUUUUGGCAAAUUUAAAUCAAAUCAAAACAUUCCACAGUUAGACAUUCAGGUACCCCACAUCUCUCUGAGGAGUAGAUGUGAUAGGAAGAAUUGCCCACUUUGCGCUUUUUAGCUGUAAUUGUGCUUCAAAUAGUUCAACUUUAUCUAUCUUUGCUAAGGUUUUCAUAGCAUAAUAAUUUAAAUUACAAAAGUAGCAUUUUACUGCAAGAAGGCCUUACACGGCUUGUAAACACUCCAGUUAUGAGGCACAAGGGGCUCGACUCUCCGGGAUCCCUACAAUAAAUCACAUAGACUCUCAGAAUACCAUCUUCACUCUCUCUAGUUAUCAUUUCCUACCUUCCAAACAGCUUCUUACUGUGGCCAACAGAGUCCUACCUGAUCUGCCAUGAUGUGUCUCUUGGACACACAAAGCCUGCUCCCGUCUCUACUGCAGUUACUUUUUUAUUUUCUCUGCCUGGAAUCCUCUUCCUCCAGACACUCCCACAGCUGAUUCCUCACUGGCCUAAUAACAUCAAAGAGGCCUUCCUAUUAGCCCUGGUUAACGUCGCUCUACCCCUGAUCCCCAGGUACUCUCUCUCUGACACAGCUUUAUUUUUCUCCGCAGUGUUUACUAACACCUGCCGUAUACUUAUGAGUUCCAUCACCAUCAGCCUACCCGCUCCAUGUGAGCGGGGACUUUAUUCACUGCUGUAUUACCAGACCCAGAACUCUCUAAGGCACAUGGUAGACAUGGUAGAUGUAUAAUAUAUUUUUGUAAAAUGUACAUUUCCCAUGUGGUGUCUUAGUCUGUUGUGCUGCUAUAAGCUUAUGAAAUUUAGUUGGCACCUGAGACAAUUUUUGUUAACACCUUACCAAAACUCCAAACGCCUCAAGGGCCAGGUGGACAAGAGCUGUAGGAAAGUGAUCACUCCCCCAGCAGUAAAAAAAGAAAGCAGGAAAAAGAACAGUUUCUCUAUAAUCUCCCUGCUACCCAUGCAUAGCAAAUAAGGGAAGGUCUUUUGGAGUAUGGAUGUCAAACGGAAUGGGGAGAAAGGUAGAUAUUCACUGUCAUUAUCAACCUAACUUGUCCUGAGGCCUCCUUAUUGGUUUUAACACAGAGAGAGAGAAGAGCCUUGAAAUACUGAGACAUUCUUUUAGAGUGUGAGUGAUUUUGUUUUUGUUUUUAAAUCUACUUCAACAUUUUCUUCCCUUGGGCCAUAUAUACCCACUAAUAAUGUAGACUUCACAUUUCAUGCUGAAAGACAAAGCAUUUUCAUUGCCUUUGCUGGUAUGGUCAAACUUGUUUCAGAAAAUGCACAGGUAUAGUUUGUGCCAUUGAAGACAACUUGAAGAGUGAUGUCUUUCAAAAACUAUAGGAGGUGAUAUCAAGAUUUAAAUAACAAGUAAAGAUAAUGACUCUGUCUUAAGGAAGCGUAUUCCUAACUGCAACAUGGAGACGAGUAAUAUUUUUUGAAAGAAUAGUAGUAUAAAUUCCAAAAGCCCUCCCCUAUGUUCAUUCCUCAUUUUCUAUAUAUUUACUUAGAGAUAUUUUCAAAAAGUCAUAAUAAAUUUGAUUGAGGGCAUGGCAACACUUCUUACCUUUAAAUUAAUUAAAAUUCUAUUUUAAAAUUAUUUUUGAAGACAUCUUUGUGAUGGCCUUUGUUGUCUCUUAAUGUUCUUUUAUUAUAAGCGUAGGCAGGUGAAGCAGCAGGAGUAGAGAAAGAACAAAGCAAUCUGUAACUGGUUGUGAUCAUUAAUUGUAAACGCUACUGCACUUAAUAUCUUUAAACAAGGAAAUUAUUUGAAAGCAUGAGUGCUCUUAGAUUAUAUUUACUGAUACGUUCCCUACUAUGAACCCUUCUUCCGCCAACAUUAAAAAGAAAGAAAGAAAAACCAUUUCUCUGCACUGUUUUUCCCUCACAAGCAUUUUCUCCUCUCACUUUAAAAAAAGAAAUGCAGCUCCCAAAGGAAGAUGCUUAAAGACCUUCAUGAGUGUUGUGAGUGUCUGUCUGUGAAAUAUACGUUGUCUCCAAAGGGACAAACAAUCAGAUACAAGAUGCAGUCAGUGAGGUGAAAGGAACAUAGAGUGAGUUUAUUGCUUCUCCUCUCCCGUCCCCUGAUGGACUCUCACUCCCAUCCUUUCUUUCACCUAUUUGCAGGUAGAUGUUGAAUGACUUAUGCGAGAGUAUGGACAAAUGAAGGAAUGAACAAACAAAGGAAAGAAUGAAGGCCGGCAUGAUUAAUAAAUCCUCCAAGAGCAGGCUCAGUCCAAGGCCAGGGGAUUUUUUUUUUUUUUUAAAGAGACUUCCAAGCACUCUGAACCCACGGGCUAGGAUAACAUGCCCUCAUCUUCUAAGUCAAAAUUCUCAAUCUACAUCAGAAAGAGGAAAUUCUCAAUGUGAAACCCCUUUCCCAUAUUCUGAAAAUUAAGUCCACACCCAAACAUAAGGUUUUAUGCACAUAGAUGGCUUCCUGUACUUCUUUAUCUAGAAGUUUUACCCCAUCCUCCAGAAAAUAUCC